ACGGGAGGCACAGAGGCUGCAGUCGGAGCUGCUCGGGGCUUUUUUUAAUCUGGCACUUCCUCCUUGUUGGAGCAGUGCUCGGCCUGACGGUCCCCAGAAAGGCCAGUUUUGUGGUCUGAAUUCGAACGCCCCUUUUCUUUUGGCGCUUCGAGGUAACAGGAGCUGCAGUUUUAGCUUUUUGCUAAGUUUGAGGUUUGUGCUAGCUGAAUGGGGCUGCAGAAUGGUGCUUUUGGCUUCGAACUUGGGUUACUCCCCUAACUAACCUUGAGAGGUUUUGCUUUGAAACUUUUGUUAUGAGGAUUUGGCCGCUUGCCUCGGUCUAUUUUAUGGUGAAUUUGUUCGGUAAGAAGUUAACUAGCAUUCGAGAUCCUGAGCUUUCUUGUUGUUGUUGAUGGUGGUGGUAAUGUGGCGGCAAAAUGAGUUUUGUCAAGCCUCUUAAGUUCCUCAUUCUGAUAUGGUAGUAGCUCUAGCUUCUCUGGUCAAAUAAAACUAAGAAAAAUGGGGCGGGAAGGAUGCUUUUGGAUUAUCUACUGACCAGUAAACAGAAAGUGAAUAUUCUUGAUGAACUUGAUUCAAUAGACAUUUUAUUCCCUAAAUAGAAACGUUAUUUUGGAAGGUUUAGGAUUAAUGUAGUUGAGUGCUGCUGGUUUCUGUGGACUUUCUCUCUGAUCGGCAAUCUUUGGGGUGGUUUUUGUUGCUGUUGUUUUGGUUUGGUUUGGUUUGGGUUUUUUGUGACUUGUUCCCUGGAUCAAGUUUUCCUCUCCUGUUUGAAUUGACCAGCUUGGAUCCUUCUCCGGGAUGUAUAAUGAAGGCUUGUUAAGGGUAUUUAUGAAGCUUUAGUGAAGUGAAUUUUUUUAAAAGAUGCCACAAAUAUAAGGGGUUCAGGAUGUAAUAAGAUGGAGUUUGACUAAAUUACUCUGCCCUUGGGUUCAGAUCCAGGCAGUUUCUUUUCUGAUUCACAAAUUCACCUUGGAAGCAAAUCGUUCUUCAGAUCCACCCUUAUGUGCAUAUUCUGACCUGAGGUGUUGUCUUUCCUGACUUCUAGACUGGAAGUUACUUCCCAAUUCUUUGAAUAGUUGUUUCCCUGUUUCGGCCAUCAGAUGAAUCGAGCUAAUGAGCUGUGCACCUGAAAUGGCUACCCAUUCACUUUGGCGGUGUUGGUUUCCCUGAGGGCAGAGGUUUUUGAAGUUCACUGAGUGUUGAACACCUACUAGGGCUAAAUUCCCGAUGCGUUUACCUCUUGGCCAGUAGGAAGUGGGUUUUCCGUAACCAGCGAAAAGCUUGCAGUGGUUCUUGGAAAAAAGCAGGUUGUACUUACAACUGUGUGCCGUCUUGUAUGAUGCAAUGUGAAUCUAGAAGCAAAGGUAACUUUGGGUUGGGUACAUUUGUGUUUGCCACACUUUUAUCCAGGCACAUAUAUAAGAAAAGUCACAACGAAAGUCUGGGCCUUUAAGGUUUCCCAAAGCCGUCUUGCAGGUCCUCCUAAUGGCCAUGUCUAGUGAGGGAGCCCAGGCUGCCGGCUCGUUUUCCUUUUUCAUUGACGAGAAUGUCUUGGACUCUGGGCAUGUGGACCUUUCCAAUUUGCACCACACAUUGUAGUAAACACAACUGUCUUCCAAUCAAAAGUGUUCUUCCUGUACUCAAGGGUGGAGUUUGCCAGCUGCUGGCCUGUGAUUGGGCAGAUUUUCUUUCAGUUACGUUUAAGAGGUUUUCAGGCGUGCUUAGUUUUGAGUACUGCAUAGCAGGGCGCCCCCUGUUACUGAUGAGUAAUUGAGGGUUGGAUGAGUGAGUUUCUGAACUGAUUGAAAACACAUUGCUCAAUUUUAGGCCCCAUUAAUACCCUCUCUCUAAAUACUUGUUGACCCAGAAAUAUUUAAGAGCAUACUAGUGAUACAUUUAAUGAACCUGUUUUAUUUCAUUACUAAUGUCAUAUGGUGCCUUAAGAAAUGAUGUGAAAAAAAUGAAAAUACUCCAUUUCUUGGGAAUUUCCAUGAAGGUCUUAGGAGUGGGUGUCUCCACCAGUGAAUUUCUCUUUGACAAGCAACUGCUGAUAUUUUUAGCCAGAUACAAACCCAAUUUCCCCCUUCUCUUGGAGUAGUGGCUUUGUCGUUCAAAAUAUGUGUUUUCUGUUUUUUAAAAAUUAUGUUGCAAGAUUGUUGAUUUUUUUUUUUUUUGCAUUUAUUUUAUUUCCUAAUCUAGUUGUACUCUGAGUUCCUAAGUCAUUGUUAGUCCGUGUCAGUCCCAGAGUCUUUGGGAGUAUUUUAUAUAUAGGGGCAGUAGACACAGACAAAAAUACCAUGGAUUGUUCUUUUGGGCAUAAUAGUACAACUAUUUACAGAAUGUCAGAGUUAUAGACCUGAGAGCAGGGCAUUUUAACCCUGCCUGCUUCAACUUACCAAGGAAGAAUGUGAAUUUUUUCCUAUAAAAAAAUAACUUAUACUUAC
rnacentral:lncRNA from 1 species